rnacentral:rRNA from 1 species
AACGUAGGUACCGAGCGUUAUCCGGAUUUACUGGGCGUAAAGCGCGUUCAGGCGGUUUGGCAAGUCGGGCAUGAAAUCUCUCGGCUCAACCGGGAGAGGUUGUCCGAUACUGCCGGACUGGAGGGCAGUAGAGGGUGGUGGAAUUCCGGGUGUAGUGGUGAAAUGCGUAGAGAUCCGGAGGAACACCAGUGGCGAAAGCGGCCACCUGGACUGCACCUGACGCUGAAAUGCGAAAGCUAGGGGAGCGAACGGG